rnacentral:rRNA from 1 species
GACGAACGCUGGCGGUGUGCUUAACACAUGCAAGUCGAACGGUAAGGCCCUUUCGUGGUUCCACGAGUGGCGAACGGGUGUGUAACACGUGCGUAACCUUCCCUCAUCUCUUUGAUAACAGUCGUUUACGGUUGCUAAUACUUGAUAUGAGCUUUCAAGGCAUCUUGUGGGUUGGAAAGAUUUUUUUUGGUUGGGGUUGGACUCGCGGCCUAUCAGCUUGUUGGUGAGGUAGUGGCUCACCAAGGCUUAGACGGGUAGCCGGCCUGAGAGGGCGACCGGACACAUAGGGACAGAGAGAAGGCGCAAAGUCCUAAGGGAGGCAGAAGUGGGGAAUAUUGAACAAUGGAGGGAAGACUGAGGGAGGAAGGCCGCGGGAGGGAUGACGGCGGUAGGGGUGGAAACAGAGAAAAAGUGUGAAGAAGAGUGGUUGUGACGGUAGCAGGAGAAGAAGCACCGGCUAACUACGUG